UCGGAGAUGGCCAGGCCGGCGGCAUCGUCGGCCGCGCUGUUGAUGCGGUAGCCGGAAGACAGUUUUUCCAGUGAUUUGUUCAAAGCAGUGUUAUUGGU
rnacentral:tRNA from 1 species